GCCUGGGUGGCUCAGUGGUUGAGCAUCUGACUUUAGCUCAGGGCGUAAUCCCGGAGUCCUGGGAUCGAGUCCCACAUCGGGCU
rfam:Canis lupus familiaris chromosome 24, whole genome shotgun sequence.